CCGUAAAUCUUGCUGAUCAGGGAAGUAACAGACCUAUCAAUCAAUAAAUCACAUCUUUAAUCAAAGACGACCAGGGAAAAUACAAGGUUCAGAACUGGAACUGAGUACGGAGCAGGGUUCAGCUGCAGGACCAGACCGUUCUUCUUUCCCACUCCAGACUGUCUUCUGAUCCAACCCGUUCCGACGAAAUGAACAGAAGGAAACGAAAUCAGAGAUAUUGGAUUGCUCUGAAAUUAGGUUU